GGGCAAAUUUCUGGGUUUCAUGGUAAGAAUGUUUUUAGUUUUGUAAGAAAUUUACAAAGUAUUCUCCAAUGUGGCUGUACCAUUUUGUAUUCCCACCAGUAAU
rnacentral:pre_miRNA from 1 species